rnacentral:misc_RNA from 1 species
GAGAGAGAGAGAGAGAGAAUGGAGGAGUUGGAUAGCAGCAGAAGGGGUAGCAGGUGGUCUCUUCAAGGGAUGACGGCUCUCGUUACUGGUGGAACCAAAGGAAUAGGUCAUGCUAUUGUGGAGGAAUUGGCAGGAUUAGGGGCAAAAGUGCACACAUGCUCACGCAAUGAAUCCCACCUGAAUGAUUGCAUCCAUAAAUGGGAAGCUAAGGGUUUUGAAGUCACAGGUACAUUAUGUGACGUAUCCUCUAAAGCCAAUAGAGAGGACCUAAUGAACAAAGUCUCCACUUUGUUCAAUAGGAAGCUUAACAUCCUUAUAAACAAUGUGGGAACGAACAUUGGAAAGCCCACUUUGAAGUGCACAGCAGAGGAUUUCUCAUAUUUGAUGGGCACCAAUUUUGAGUCUGCUUACCACCUGUGCCAACUUGCACAUCCGCUUCUUAAAGCUUCAGGGGCAGGAAGUAUUGUUUUUAUCUCUUCAGUUAGUGGAGUAGUAUCAGUAAAUAUUGGCUCCAUCUAUGGAGCUACCAAAGCUGCAAUGAACCAGCUCACUAAGAAUUUGGCAUGUGAAUGGGCAAAAGACAAUAUAAGGACUAAUUGUGUUGCACCUUGGUUCAUCAGAACUCCCUUUACUGAACCUGUAAUAUCCUUUCUUAUGCUUUUGCUUUGUGUUAGAAUGAUCCUUGUUUAAUUUCAAAGCCUUGGAUUUUCAUAGUCAAUUAUGCUUUAUAAGUCCCCUUGCAAGGGAACUUGGGUAUGGUAUUAGCAUUAGGAACUUACUACUGUUACUUGAUUUCUUUAAGGCCACAUUUGGUUUGCUUUGUAAAUGGGAAUAGAAUGCAAUUCUUGCAAUCGUAUUUCAUUUUCUUGUUAGGUACACAGAAUCCAACUUUUUAUGGUACUUUUGUAUUUGAGUAACUCAUAUUUAGAUGAAAAUGACAUCUAUUUUUAAGUAUAAUUUUUAAGAUUACUAUUAAAUUAUGUUUAGUUAUUUUAAAUUAAAAAUGGAAUAGGAUUCUUGGUGUGUAGGUAACUCGGUAUCAUUUUCUGUUAUCAGUACAUUUCCAAGACAAACAAACAUAUCCUAACUGUAUAUAUAGUACGUUCUUAGAUAAGGAAUAGCUAAUAUGCUUGGACUAGGAACUUGACCAACCCUUGUGUUUUCCAUGGAGUUCAAAUAUUUUUCUGGAUUGUGUGAUAUAAAUUAGUCUGUGCCAUUUCUUAUGCUCCUUGUCUGUGUUAUUGGGUUCUUAUCACAAAUAUAUAGCAGAUCUUUUGUUUUGUCUGUCUUACUACAAGUAAAUUAAUCUCUUUUCUUUUCUCCUAUCGCUUGUAGGAUCUAAAUCUUGAAAUAUUUUCCAACCCUAUCAUCUCCCGAACUCCAAUAGGACGGGUUGGAGAGCCAGAGGAGGUCUCUUCGUUAGUGGCAUUUUUGUGUCUACCUGCAGCUUCUUAUAUAACAGGGCAGACAAUUUGUGUUGAUGGAGGAGUGACAGUGAAUGGGUUGUUCUUCCCAGGAACAGAAAACAACACAACAACCCAAGUUCCAAACAAUACUUGACAUUCCAGUAGAUUAAGUUCUGCUCAUCAACACGCCUUUGGCAAGUUUAUAGGACAAUUUCACUCAUUUCCUUCUUGUUCCAAGAUUAAAACUUCUGAAAUUCAUACAGCUAUAAUAAUUUCAUAUCAAACAAAGAAACUAAAUGUUCAAUUUGAUGUUUGAUAUAUUGAUAUUAAUGAGACUGGUGCAUCAUCAUUUGCAUUUCAUUUUUAGGGUCCCUCUGAAUAUAUGUGCCCACCAUUCCAAGAGUAAAGCUUUCUUGUUGGUGG